rnacentral:lncRNA from 1 species
GCAUUCUGUAGGCCACUGGCAUGAUAAAAGUAAUCUGAAACAUCAGCGUUUCAAUACCAACCAGUAGAGCUUCAUAUGAAACAUAAUGCAGCAUUUCUGUGAUCGAUUGAGGUUGAGAAACUGCUUGGAUAUUGAAACACUCAUCAAUCAUCUCACACUGGUUAAUGCCAUUCAGAUUAUUAUCUCUGAACAUAAUAAUUAUUGCAUGUGAGGAUGAUAUUGAGAAUGACAGAAGAACAUGAGAACAUGCUUAAUGACUCCUGUGACAUAUACUUGAAUUAUUUUUAGACAACUUUAAUGAAAUAACAUUAGAUCAAAUAAAAUGUAUCCUCAAGGAUGAUUCUGUGUUUCUGUGAAUGAUCACACCCAGCCACAUGACAUUUAUUGAUGACAUUUACCAAACUACAUUUUAAUAGUACAUACAUAAUAACUGAUACAAAAGACCAUAGUUACACUGCAAGUGAAGAACAGUGUGGAUUAUCACACCAUCUAUCUUUACAAAUGGUAUUUUCAGUAAGACCUUGAAUACUUAGUUAACGAACUGGAACAAAGUCAUAAUCAACUGCUCAGAGUAUGCAGAGCGUACUCAAACAUCCAUGUAUACGUCUUCUGAGUUAUUGUCUUGAAAUAGUUUGCUGUUUGGACAAUUUUAUAUGGAUAAUCUAGAAUGGGGUUAAUAUCUGAUUUCACAUCAAAUCCAUCUACGCCCAAAUUAAAUUAUAUAUUUUUUAAUUGAGCUCAAUCUCAUUAAAAAAAAUCAUACUUCUCCAGAAAAAGAGAGAUUUCUUAAUCAGCAUAUCAUUAAGACCGCUUCAACAAGUCAUCCAUCUCUCCGUUAAUGAUUGAUUAAUCAAGGUUAAUAACGGACCAACUUAUCACACCAAACCAUAUGAAGGUCUCAUCCAUUAUAAUCAAAAGGACAUUGUAUCCCCUAUCCCAGGACUACAUCACGCGGUGACCGUCCCUGCCGUCACAGUCAAACAAAUGUCAGCAUCCCAAAUGGUGCCCUAUUCCCUACAUAGUGCACUACUUUUGACCAGGGCCCACAGUGUGUUAUUUGGGGAAUAGGGUGCCAUUUGAAAAGCAGACUUUGACUAUUCACAAACUGUGACUGUAUUAAUGUUGUGUUUGACCUCCUGGGGUCUGCUCUACGAUGAGGCAGAGACACAUCAGAGAUGUAGCCUCCCAGUCUCAACACUACACUUAAAGGGGAGCUUAGUGUCUGCCUGCUGCAAUUUAGAGAGUGACUUUGGGGUUUGGAGGUGUGGAUGCCCUCUGUCUGGUAACUUUCUCUGAAUCCCACCGCUGACACCAAUGUGCACCAAGGGCACACAGUAAAAGCAGUAGACAACUAUUCUGGCUCUCCGGGGUAAACACAAUAUGUGAAGAGCAGGGCUUUCCAAUCCUGUUCCUGGAGAGCUACUCUCCUGUAGGUGUUCUCUCCAAUCCUGUUCCUGGAGAGCUACUCUCCUGUAGGUGUUCUCUCCAAUCCUGUUCCUGGAGAGCUACUCUCCUGUAGGUGUUCUCUCCAAUCCUGUUCCUGGAGAGCUACUCUCCUGUAGGUGUUCUCUCCAAUCCUGUUCCUGGAGAGCUACUCUCCUGUAGGUGUUCUCUCCAAUCCUGUUCCUGGAGAGCUACUCUCCUGUAGGUGUUCUCUCCAAUCCUGUUCCUGGAGAACUACUCUCCUGUAGGUGUUCUCUCCAACCCUGUUCCUGGAGAGCAACUCUCCUGUAGGUGUUCUCUCCAACCCUGUUCCUGGAGAGCUACCCUCCAGUAGUUUUGCUGCAACCCCAGUUGUAACUGACCGGAUUCUGCUCAUCAACCAGCUAAUUAUUUGAAUCAGGUGUGCUGUAUUAGGGUUGGAAUGAAAACCUAGAGGAGGAUAGCUCUCCAGGAACAAGGUUGGAGAGAACACCUAGAGGAGGGUAGCUCUCCAGGAACAAGGUUGGAGAGAACACCUAGAGGAGGGUAGCUCUCCAGGAACA